GGUUCUGUGAUGUUGCCAACUUAGUGGAUUUGUUGCUAGAUUUGGAGACUUAUAGGCAUUGCCUAUAUGGUUGGGCCAUGUAUCGGUGCAAACCGUGGGCUUAAGGCUACACCUCUUAUUACGAGGGCUGUCACCCAGCCGCCCUGGUUUCCCGGCUGUUCGGGAGCUGCAGGGAAACGGAGAAUGACCCUCCCAGCUAGCAAAACUGCACCCGUCCACGCUCGGCUCUGAAGUCAGAAGUAGGAAUCUGCAGUCUCAGCCACGAGAGCCAAGACCACAAAAGCGAACAAACCUCUCAAAUGAGGAGGAAUGUAUUCGUCAGUCAUUCAUCACAUGAUGGUGCAGGAUUGUCAGCAGCCUUCUGUCACCUCCUGAAAAUCUUCUUCCAACGCUGACUUAAACACACGCACACAAACACACACACAGUCAGUAAAUGCAGGCAGGUGAGAGCAGGGCGUUCCAUUGUGGGCGAGCCGAGGAAGCAAGGACGGUGCAUGUCCAAAAUGACAAAGGUUGCUUUUACACCUGUCAGGGCCCGUUUAAUCAUCUACCACUUCAAACAGGAGAGUCUGAUGCUCUCGGGCCUCCCAGCAGCCUUUGCUCCAGCAGCUCUGGACAAGCCACCAUUCAGUAGAGGGCCAGGAGAAACAGACCUGUGCAGGUAUAAAACUUAACUGUGUCUUCCAUAAAAUAAAAACAAAUAGGUCAAUGUUUUAGAGGCUCUAGCAGCAGGACUUGGAGGUAAUAGAUACAGGAAACAGCGUCCACUGGUGCUGUGGCUGAUUUAACUUUAUAGGACAAAUUCAGGGCUUUUCCUCAUAAACUGAUCUUGAUUGAAUUAAUGUGAUGCCUCUUGUAUGGAUUCACACAUUUAUGGUGCUGUAACCUUGUUGCUUUAUUCAUAAAUUGAGUAGUUUUUUUUUUUUCAGUUUCAUGGGGACAAAACGUUUUUGUUUGAGCUGUACAAACAAAAGUUCAAAUCUGUAUCUGAUUUUCUUUGAGGUGUAUGUGUAUGUAUAUUUAGGUGGAUAUAUAUGGAUAUUUGUGAUUGUUAUGUGUAAGCUGAUGAUUGUUAAUUAACAACAGAUUCUGGAAUAUUUAAAAAAUUUAUGCCACAUUAAAAAAGUUGUAUUUGAUAAUUACUUUCACUUUAGGAGAAACCUUCAAAUUCAUGAUCCCUAAAGAGUCUAAUGUUCAUGUCAGCAGACUCUUUAUUUAUAUUUAAUCAGUAUUUUAUUUUGAAACUUAGUGUUUCAAUGUCUUUCUUUCUUUUAGAAAAUAAUCAUUAGACCUUAAAAUAUCCUUUUAAUAUUUGUAGAGUUUUCACAAAAAUGUAUGUGUCUUUAUAGCUCUGUUAAGUAAGUGAAGUAUUUGACUGGAUUAGUUUAUAAAAUAAAAGACAAACAAAAAAAUCACUAACACCAUCAUGCAAAAAUCUCAAAAUAUGCACCAUCUAUUUAUCUACAGUCGGGGCAUGAUGGGAUGGCGUAUGACACCACUUUUAGGGUUUUUUCGUGCGUCCUAUACGCAUUGUAAACGUCGUAUAACGCUGUUUGAGAUAGGUUUAGGGGCAAUGGUUGUGUAAUGUAUAAUCGGGGGGUUGUCAGUAGAGAAAUUACGUAGUGUGACAUGACACGCGAAAAGCAAAAACUACGUAGUGAUAACGCGCAAAAUGGCUUAAGAAACUGGAGUUAUUGGUUCGCCGCUGUGUGAUACCAGACUGAAGCCAUAUAUCUAAUGUCCAUAAAAACCCGCCUGUCUCCAUUUAGGUA